rnacentral:misc_RNA from 1 species
CACCAAUCAAGCCUGGCUUGGUAUUGGGCGUCGGCCGUCGGCCGCGCCUCUAUUUCCCCGGCUGGACGGUUCAAAUCUCAGCGUUGUGAUAAUCAAUUCGCGGAGCAGGAGGACCGGACGUGCCGUUAAACCUCAUUACA